UGAAUUGUGUUUCUUUUUUGUUUUGUAGUGUUUGUUUCGUCGUUAGAGUAAAAAUUGCUCUUUAAAGCUAAAGAGCUCUGAAUCCUUAAUUCGAUUACAUGACGGGAAUGUUAAACUAUGAAUAUUUUGUGGAAUAUUAUCAUACAAUUAUAUGUAUUUUUGCUCUUUCUUUUUCCAUAUUAAUAUUUAUAUUGUAUUAUCAUGGAGUCUUUUAUAAAGUAGAGGUGAAAACAGCACGGCCACCUUUUACCAAAGACACUUUUGUAGUUUAUAAAUUCACACAAAAUUACACUGAAUCUAGAGAUUUGCUAACUGAAGUACAAAAUAUAGCGCCGGAUUUUGAUUCCUUUUCAAUUUAUCAUGAAAAUUUUUAUCAAACCAGAAGUCAAGUAGGAUCUUCUGUUGGGGUGGUUUUGCCAGAAAAUAUUGAAGAAAAUUUAUAUCGCAAGCUAAUUCAAGCAGGUUAUAAAGUUGCUAUAUUCCCAGCCAUAGAUUUUGCUGUCGUUGCAUCAUUUCCAUACAAAAAUCAAUAUUCCUUGGUCAUUGCAGUUUACAGAACUUAUCCUAGACUAAAGCAAUAUAUAAAGGCCUACAGACUUUGUGCACACCCUAUCAUGGAACUUUAUACCAAAGAUACAGUCUUCUUUAUUGCUCCACUGUCAAAGCAGUUUGACUUUUAUGCAGAAGAAGCCAUUCCAGAGUAUGAAGAGAGUACCUCUGAAGAAGAAAAUGAAUUUUCUGAUGACUUAGAAUAUUCCAAAAGUCGUUAUCAUCACAGUUCAUUGAAAAGUCAAUGCUACUGUGAUCCAUUUUUACAUUCUUCAUCUUGCGAUAGGCGCAAGCGAGCCUUAUUUAAGCUGGUGACCUAAAAUCCAGAAAUUUCCAGACUCACUAAUGUUCCAAUUAUUCCAGAUCUCAGACUUUGUAUUGUAUCUCUUCCCUGCAAGUCUGUGAGCUUCAUUUUGCUGCAUGUGACAUCGAAAGAGUCUCAGAAAUGUACGACGAGAGACAGCGGUUUUACAGCAUCCUCAUUUAUCAUGGAGUGCUGUUCCUACAAAACUUCCUGAUUCUGCUGUUUAUUUGCCAAAAUGCUGUGAGAAAAGAGAGAGUUUUGGCUGUAAAACAAGGCUUUAGAAGGUGCAGUUACUGAAAGCAUAAAAUUCAAAGAAGACUAUGAUAAAAAAAAAUAACGUUUUCUAAUUUUCCUGAGCUCUCUGAAAAGUUGUGCUAAAUUAGUUUGCCAACAGUGGUCUAUCAUUCAGAAACUGGACAUUAUCAUUUUUUCUUUGGUAACUUUACGAACUGCACCAUGUAUUGUGGCAUCGAUGGUGGUGACUGAAGGUCGUGAUUUAAAUGUUUAACAUUGAAGGCAUUCAAGCAACAGAGUUAGAAAAUACUGUCACACCUAAAAACAUAAGUAACUAAUACUAUAACAACCAUUAUUGAGAAAAGAAAUGCUAUUUAUUGUAAUUUUUCUCAUAAAAACAAUUCAAAACUACAUGUGGUACAAACACUUCUAGAUGAUAUAGUAAAAACUAAUUCAAGUGUUGAUAACUUGCAAACAGUACAGUUCAUAAAUGACCAAAUAGCUUUUUCAAAGCAAUAAAAAGUGUGAAGUUUAUUCAGUAUCCUCUCAUGGAUAUCAUUUUAUAAUGUCUUCAGAAAACAUGAUCUUCCCACAUCUAAGUGCCAUGCAAAGAUUGUGUUCUUCGUUUCAACUAAACCCAGAAAUGGAACAGCAUGAUAAUAAUUUUUUAUCAUGUUGAGUCAAAGUUUGCACUAUUACACCAGAAUGACUCUUGUGUUGCACUUUUUAUGGAUGAAAUUCAUAUUAAGCCCUUUUUAAUUCAAAGGAGGAAAUAUAUAUGGUUCAUCACAUGACAGAGUCCGCGCAGCUACCACAGCAUACGUACUUAUGAUUCAGAAUUGUGUGUUGUUUUAUAAAGAUGUUGUUCAUAUUUUACCAAUUGCAAAAAUAACAGCUGAAGAACUGUGUAGUUCUCUAAAAAAAGUAAUUCUCAAGCUAGAGAAAAUUGGUUUUAUGAUUAAUACAGUGGUGAGUGAUAACAGUUCUAUUAAUUCAAAAUCAAUUUCUUAGUUUACCACUCAACCUAAAAUAUCUAUACAGUACAAAGUCGUUAAUCCGGACUCGUCGGGACUUCGGCGAUUCUGGAUUAGGGGUUUUUCCACAUUAUAGAUCAUCAUUUUAAAUCUGGUAAGAUGGCAUGCAGAAAUUAUA
rnacentral:misc_RNA from 1 species